UAGGGAAUCUUCCACAAUGGACGCAAGUCUGAUGGAGCAACGCCGCGUGAGUGAAGAAGGGUUUCGGCUCGUAAAGCUCUGUUGUUAAAGAAGAACGUGGGUAAGAGUAACUGUUUACCCAGUGACGGUAUUUAACCAGAAAGCCACGGCUAACUACGUGCAG
rnacentral:rRNA from 1 species